GAAAGUAAAAAAGGGCGCAUGGCGGAUGCCUUGGCUCUCGGAGGCGAUGAAGGACGUGAUAAGCUGCGAUAAGCUUUGGGGAGGUGCAAAUGACCUUUGAUCCAGAGAUUUCCGAAUGGGACAACCCAAUAUCUUGAAGAGGUAUUAUCUUACUAUGUAAGAGGCUAACGCAGGGAACUGAAACAUCUUAGUACCUGCAGGAAAAGAAAAUAAACAAUGAUUCCCCCAGUAGUGGCGAGCGAACGGGGAACAGCCCAAACCAUCCAUGUUACGGCAUGGGUGGGGUUGUAGGACUACGCCGUUGCAUGAAGACAUCAGAGAAGAACUUUCUGGAAAGAAAGACCAUAGAGCAUGACAGUUGCGUAUUCGAAUGUUGUCGAAGCAUAGUAGUAUCCUGAGUAGCGCGGAGCACGAGGAAUUCUGCGUGAAUCUGCCGGGACCAUCCGGUAAGGCUAAAUACUCCCGAGAGACCGAUAGCGAACCAGUACCGUGAGGGAAAGGUGAAAAGCACUUCGAACAGAAGAGUGAAAUAGUUCCUGAAACCGUGCGCCUACAAGCGGUCGGAGCUCGUUAAUGAGUGACGGCGUGCCUUUUGCAUAAUGAACCUACGAGUUGCCUUUGCCGGCAAGGUUAAGUGUGACGACACACGUAUCCGAAGCGAAAGCGAGUCUGAAUAGGGCGUAUAGUCGGCAGUGGCAGACGCGAAACCAAGUGAUCUACCCUUGGCCAGGUUGAAGGCUGGGUAACACCAGCUGGAGGACCGCACCAAUAAGCGUUGAAAAGCUUCUGGAUGAGCUGAGGGUAGGGGUGAAAGGCUAAUCAAACUUGGAGAUAGCUCGUACUCCCCGAAAUGCAUUUAGGUGCAGCCUUGCGGGUUACUGAUGUGAGGUAGAGCGACUGAUAAGAUGCGAGGGCUUCACCGCCUAUCAAGUCUUGACAAACUCCGAAUGCGCAUCAGUUCUACCGCAGGAGUGAGGGCAUGGGUGCUAAGGUCCGUGCCCGAGAGGAGAAGAAUCCGGACCACCUGCUAAGGUCCCGAAAUGACAGCUAAGUUAAACUAACGAAGUCUGACUGCUAAGACAGCUAGGAUGUUGGCUUGGAAGCAGCCAUUCAUUUAAAGAGUGCGUAACAGCUCACUAGUCGAGGAGUCGGGCGUGGAUAAUAAUCGGGUAUCAAGUUGUCUACCGAAGCAGUGGGAUCAUUUAUAUGAUCGGUAGGGGAGCAUUCCAGUCAGCGUCGAAGGCGUACCGUGAGGUAUUCUGGAGCGUCUGGAAAAGCAAAUGUAGGUAUAAGUAACGAUAAAGGGGGCGGGAAACCCCCUCGCCGAAAGACUAAGGUUUCCUGAUCAACGCUAAUCGGAUCAGGGUCAGUCGGGUCCUAAGGCUCAGCCGAACGGCGAUGCCGAUGGCAGAAACGGUUAAUAUUCCGUUACUACCUUCAGGAGUGACGUGGAGACGCAGUAGUGACAGUGCCGCCAUCUGACGGAAUAGAUGGUUGAAGGGUGUAGGAGUCGAUCAUGGCAGGCAAAUCCACCAUGAGAUCCGAACCUGAUAGUAUGCCGCGUCCUUCGGGACAAGGCAAUAGUGCGCGUAAGCAUGCUGCCGAGAAAAUCCGCUAAACUUAAUCCUGCAGGUACCCGUACCGCAAACGGACACACGUAGUCGGGAUGAAUAUUCUAAGGCGCUUGAGUGAUUCACGGUUAAGGAACUAGGCAAACUGACCCUGUAACUUCGGGAUAAAGGGUCCCUACCCUUUUAUGGGAGGGCGCAGAGAAUCGGUCCAGGCAACUGUUUAACAAAAACACAGGGCUGUGCCAAAUCGAAAGAUCCAGUAUACAGCCUGACACCUGCCCGGUGCUGGAAGGUUAAGAGGAGAUGUCAUCGAUAAGAGAAGCGUUGAAUUGAAGCCCCAGUAAACGGCGGCCGUAACUAUAACGGUCCUAAGGUAGCGAAAUUCCUUGUCGGGUAAGUUCCGACCUGCACGAAUGGUGUAAUGAUCUGGACGCUGUCUCAACCGUGAGCUCAGUGAAAUUGUAGUAUCGGUGAAGAUGCCGAUUACCCGCGAUGGGACGAAAAGACCCCGUGAACCUUUACUAUAGCUUAUCAUUGAAUCUGGGCACGUGAUGUGUAGGAUAGGUCGGAGGCUUUGAAGCAGGUACGCCAGUAUUUGUGGAGCCGCUGUUGAAAUACGACCCUUUAUUUGUUUGGAUUCUAACCCGUGGUACGGGGACAUUGAUUGGUGGGUAGUUUGACUGGGGUGGUCGCCUCCAAAAGC
rnacentral:rRNA from 1 species